rnacentral:hammerhead_ribozyme from 1 species
AUCCAGCCAACGAAUCCCUAAUAGAACGAAACACGCGUCUUGGAU